GAUGAACGCUGGCGGCGUGCCUAAUACAUGCAAGUCGAGCGAACAGACGAGGAGCUUGCUCCUCUGACGUUAGCGGCGGACGGGUGAGUAACACGUGGAUAACCUACCUAUAAGACUGGGAUAACUUCGGGAAACCGGAGAUAAUACCGGAUAAUAUAUUGAACCGCAUGGUUCAAUAGUGAAAGACGGUUUUGCUGUCACUUAUAGAUGGAUCCGCGCCGCAUUAGCUAGUGGGUAAGGUAACGGCUUACCAAGGCAACGAUGCGUAGCCGACCUGAGAGGGUGAUCGGCCACACUGGAACGGGGACACGGUCCAGACUCCUACGGGAGGCAGCAGUAGGGAAUCUUCCGCAAUGGGCGAAAUCCUGACGGAGCAACGCCGCGUGAGUGAUGAAGGUCUUCGGAUCGUAAACCUCUGUUAUUAGGGAAGAACAAAUGUGUAAGUAACUAUGCACGUCUUGACGGUACCUAAUCAGAAAGCCACGGCUAACUACGUG
rnacentral:rRNA from 1 species